CUGGUUGAUCCUGCCGGAGUUACUGCUAUCAAGGUCCGACUAAGCCAUGCGAGUCGAAUGUAGCAAUACAUGGCGAACUGCUCAGUAACACGUGGACAACCUACCCUCAGAUCUGGGAUAAACCUGGGAAACUGGGUAUAAUACCGGAUAAACCUUGGAUGCUGGAAUGCACCGAGGUUCAAAGCUCCGGCGUCUGAGGAUGGGUCUGCGGCCUAUCAGGGUAGUAGUGGGUGUAAAGUACCUACUAGCCUACGACGGGUACGGGUUGUGAGAGCAAGAGCCCGGAGAUGGAUUCUGAGACACGAAUCCAGGCCCUACGGGGUGCAGCAGGCGCGAAAACUUUACAAUGCUGGCAACAGCGAUAAGGGGACCUUGAGUGCCAGGAUACAAUCUUGGCUGUCGUCGUGUCUAAAAAACACGAUAUAGCAAGGGCCGGGCAAGACCGGUGCCAGCCGCCGCGGGUAACACCGGCGGCUCGAGGGGGUAACCGCUAUUAUUGGGUCUAAA
rnacentral:rRNA from 1 species